rnacentral:rRNA from 1 species
AGUGAACGCUGGCGGUAGGCCUAACACAUGCAAGUCGAACGGCAGCACAGUAAGAGCUUGCUCUUACGGGUGGCGAGUGGCGGACGGGUGAGGAAUAUAUCGGAAUCUACUUUUUCGUGGGGGAUAACGUAGGGAAACUUACGCUAAUACCGCAUACGACCUACGGGUGAAAGCAGGGGAUCUUCGGACCUUUCGCGAUUGAAUGAGCCGAUGUCGGAUUAGCUAGUUGGCGGGGUAAAGGCCCACCAAGGCGCCGAUCCGCAGCUGGUCUGAGAGGAUGAUCGGCGACACUGGAAGUGAGACGCGGACCAGGCUCCUGCGGGAGGCAGCAGUGGGGAAUGUGGGGCAAUGGGGGGGAGCCUGAUCCAGCGAUACCGCGUGGGUGAAGAAGGCGUUCGGGUUGGGAAGCCGUUUUGUUGGGAGAGAAAAGCAGCAGGUUGAUACGCCGCGGUAGUGACGGUAACGGGAGAAUAAGCACCGGCUAACUACGUG